rnacentral:RNase_P_RNA from 1 species
AUCUGUGGUGAAUCUAUCGCUCCUUGAAAGAGGAGAGGAAAGUCCGGACAGCGUAGAGCACCGUACCAUCUAACGGAUGGGAUCCGUCCCAGGCGGAGACAGAAAGUGUCACAGAAAACUAUACCGUCCUGCUGCAGAGUGGGAUAAGGGUGAAAACGUGUGGUAAGAGCGCACGCAUGGUCCGGGCAACCGGCCAUGGGAUAAACCUUACGGGCUGAAAUGUCAUGUACACUUCAAUUCCCAAACCAAUUUAUUGGUCAAAGGGUAUCCGGCGGCUCGCCGGCGUAUGCAAAUAGUUGAAGGGGGUAGGCAGCUAGAGCCGGUGCAGCAAUGUCCGGCCCAGAUCAAUGAUAGAUAUCUCACCUCGCGGUGGGAAUACAGAAUCCGGCUUAUCCACCACAGAUGCAA